AAAAAAGAAAGAAAGUGAGGGUACUGGUGAGGCCCAUUGCUGAACAUACAACACAUUUCUGUUCCAAGACAGAGAAACCAAGCUGAAACUGAGAACAUCCUUCCUGCUGGCUAAAUGUCAUGGUCCUGAAAUGUGCUUUGCAAAUCACUCGGGAAGAAAAGCCAUCAAUGAUAUCACUCAGAAGCAAACCCAGCAUGUUCCAAUAUGAACCCGUCAGGAAAGAUGUACCCAUUGGUGCAAUAGUGGCAUGACGGUUACCCCCAGAAAUCAAGCAUGGCAACACAGUCAGCUGUUUCUGUGGAGCACCUGGCUCCUGCAUGUCUUGCCUCACGUACUCACACCACUAUCGGAAAUGCUGCCGUCACCUCAUUUUCUCAGUUGUAUAAGAUUUUCUUUCUCUGCAUCAUCUUUGUUAAGUGGCAAUCCAACAUGGCAAGCUUCGACUCUUCUUGUGGCCUCAGAGUCAAACAGGUAUGCUGGCCUGGGCAGAGGCAAGGGCAGAACUUGAAAUACCAUCCAGACACACAGUGAGCCUCUCAGGGUGAAAGACCUGAAAGCUGAGGCUGGCAUGCUGUGGGCCCCUGUGCCCUGGCAAAGGCUCUUAACUGAUUUGGGAAUAUCCCUGUGGGAUAGGCUCCAAUUUCCAGCUGGCAGAGCGAGCAUCUGAGACCAGGAGCUAAGCAGCACCUUCCUGAGUCCCCCACCUCUCAAGCCUGUGUUAAGAACACUGGGCCCUGAUCCUGUGCAGGCACCACAUUUUUCAGGACCCCACACUAUUAUCCUAGCAAAAGCAUUGCCCUGAGCUUGACAGGAAGCCAGGAUGGAUGGUGGUCUUAUUUCAAGUAGGAUAGCAUCUUUGGAUUCUGCUCUACUGUAUGCCAG
rnacentral:lncRNA from 1 species